rnacentral:tRNA from 1 species
GCCCAUGUAAUUUAUAAAAAAUACUGGUCUUGUAAAUCAAUUAAAGAAUAUUUUAUUCUCUAGGGCU